rnacentral:tRNA from 1 species
UAGUUUAAUUGGUUAAAACUUUAAUUUCAUGCAUUAAAAAUGGGAAUUCGAUUUUCCC